AUACGUAGGGGGCGAGCGUUGUCCGGAUUUACUGGGCGUAAAGGGUGAGUAGGCGGUUAUGUAUGUCAGAUGUAAAAGGCACAGGCUUAACUUGUGUUAGCAUUUGAAACUGCAUAACUUGAGUGCAGGAGAGGUAAGUGGAAUUCCUAGUGUAGCGGUGAAAUGCGUAGAUAUUAGGAGGAACACCAGUGGCGAAGGCGACUUACUGGACUGUAACUGACGCUGAGUCACGAAAGCGUGGGUAGC
rnacentral:rRNA from 1 species